rnacentral:lncRNA from 1 species
CUAAUUUUCAGAGGUCAGUUGAAAUAGGUCAAGGUGACGGCCUCUUUAACCGCCAUCUUUUACCAGAUCCAUCUGAUACAAGAUGAGGGCCAAGUGGAGGAAAAAGCGCAUGAGAAGGCUCAAAAGAAAGAGAAGGAAGAUGAGAGCCAGAUCUAAGUAGAUUGGCCUUUCUGCUUUUGAAGAAUAACAACCAGAAGUUAUUGGACAGAGUGGAUCCUAUCCAGAUUGUGGUCCUUUGAGAUGAGCAGCAGUUAAACUGACUCAGUGCAUGAAUUCUUAUUCAGACAGAUAGUACCAAAUAUGCAAACUGCAUAGGGGUAUAUAUUGAAAAGCUUCAAGUUGAGAAGCUGCAAACGAAAUGGAAAAUUUCCUGAACUGGGACCAAGUGAACUAGCAAACUAAGAUCGUGUCACUUUGAUGGCCAAGUUGUCAGUAAAUGGAACUUCUGGAUGUUGUUUUUCUCUUAUUUGUGUACAGAUGUGUUUGCAGUAAAACAAUAAAAACACACUUUACUUA